UUGACUUCUGUAUAUAGUAGUUUGAAUAAGUACAAAUAUUUCUCGACACAUGAGAGUCGACUUUUGAGGCAAUGAUUGUUCACUACUAGGUGCAACUUUGGUGAGUUGUUCUUGGUGUGAUACAUUAGGGAAAAAGCUCAGUGAAGGACCCUUUAUAGAGUAUGGUGGAUUGCUCGAGGACUAGCAAUGAUUUAAGUGUAGGUUGUUGAUAAUAGGAUAUAUAAACGAUAUUUACACUUUAAAUGUACCAUGCUUUAUUGUUGUUUUAAAGGCUAAAUGAUAACAAAAUACUCUAAUUAGUUUUCUUUUGCUUCGCAGGGACUAAUCAAUAUCAAGAAGAGCCUAUGGAGUGUUUGGAGUCAAGAAUGUAGAUAAAAGGCUAAUCAAGAAGAACCCAAGUGAAAACAAGCAAGAAAGAG
rnacentral:lncRNA from 1 species